rnacentral:rRNA from 1 species
UCAAGCAGAAAGGGCACAGGGCGGAUGCCUUGGCACUAAGGGCCGAAGAAAGACGUGAUAAGCUGCGAUAAGCUUCGGGGAGGAGCAAAUAUCCAUUGAUCCGGAGAUCUCUGAAUGGGGAAACCCACAUGAGCAAACCUCAUGUAUCCAUACGCCAAUCCAUAACGUAUGGAGGGGAACCCGGGGAACUGAAACAUCUAAGUACCCGGAGGAAAAGAAAGAAAACUCGAUUCCGUAAGUAGCGGCGAGCGAACGCGGAAGAGCCUAAACCGGUGUGCGUGCACACCGGGGUUACGGACUGCAUUUAAGAUUCUGCAAUGUUAGUGGAACGGUUUUGGGAAAGCCGGCCGGAGAGGGUGAAAGCCCCGUAGACGAAAACAGAGCAGACUGAGCAGGAUCCAGAGUACCGCGGGACACGAGAAACCCUGCGGGAAGUGAGGGGGACCACCCCCUAAGGCUAAAUACCACUUAGUGACCGAUAGCGCAUAGUACUGUGAAGGAAAGGUGAAAAGGACCCCGGGAGGGGAGUGAAAGAGAACCUGAAACCCUGUGUCUACAAGCUGUGGGAGUGCUUUAUAUGCACGACCGCGUACUUUUUGUAGAACGGUCCGGCGAGUUGCGCUCACUGGCAAGGUUAAGCACCGGAGGUGCGGAGCCGUAGGGAAACCAAGUCUUAAGAGGGCCAGAGUCAGUGGGGGCAGACCCGAAACCGGGUGAUCUAUCCAUGUCCAGGUUGAAGCUGCCGUAAGAGGCAGUGGAGGACCGAACCCACAUCCGUUGAAAAGGGUGGGGAUGAGGUGUGGAUAGGGGAGAAAUUCCAAUCGAACCCGGAGAUAGCUGGUUCUCCUCGAAAUAGCUUUAGGGCUAGCCUUGGUAGAGAUUUGCGGAGGUAGAGCACUGAAUUUCCUAGGGGGCGUCAAAGCCUACCGAAGAAUAUCAAACUCCGAAUGCCGUGUAAUUGCUUACCAGGAGUCAGACUGCACGAGAUAAGUUGGGCAGUCAAAAGGGAAAGAGCCCAGACCUUCAGUUAAGGUCCCAAAGUGUGCGUUAAGUGGAAAAGGAUGUGGGAUUUCGAAGACAACCAGGAUGUUGGCUCAGAAGCAGCCAUUCAUUCAAAGAGUGCGUAAUAGCUCACUGGUCGAGAGGUCCUGCGCCGAAAAUGUCCGGGGCUGAAACGCACCACCGAAACUAAGGGAUCCGAAAGGAUCGGUAGAGGAGCAUUGCAUGCGGGACGAAGCAGUACCGUAAGGAGCUGUGGACUGCAUGGAAGAGAGAAUGCCGGAAUGAGUAGCGAGAUAGAGGUGAGAAUCCUCUAGGCCGAAUAUCCAAGGUUUCCAGGGUAAAGCUGAUCUGCCCUGGGUAAGUCGGGGCCUAAGGUGAGGACGAGAGUCGUAGCCGAUGGACAACAGGUGGAGAUUCCUGUACUAUGAUAUGACAGAACUGUGGGGACACGUGCAGAGAGCGGAAGCCGGGAAUGGGAUCCCGGUGCAAGCGAGGUACCAGCCGCAUUGGAAAAACCGUGCGGCAAUGGGAAGACGUGAUGCGGAGUGAAGUUUAGUAAUGAAGUCCGUGAGCUGUGCGUCAAGAAAAGCCGCUAUUGUUCAUACCAUACCCGUACCGUAAACCGACACAGGUGGAUGAGGAGAGAAUCCUAAGGCCGGCGGAAGAAGCAUUGUCAAGGAACUCGGCAAAAUGACCCCGUAACUUCGGGAGAAGGGGUGCCUGCGAGAGCAGGCCGCAGAGAAUAGGCUCAAGCAACUGUUUAGCAAAAACACAGGUCUAUGCGAAACCGAAAGGUGAGGUAUAUGGGCUGACGCCUGCCCGGUGCUGGAAGGUUAAGAGGAGAGGUUAGCGCAAGCGAAGCUUUGAAUUUAAGCCCCAGUAAACGGCGGCCGUAACUAUAACGGUCCUAAGGUAGCGAAAUUCCUUGUCGGGUAAGUUCCGACCCGCACGAAAGGCGUAAUGAUUUGAGCGCUGUCUCGACAAUGCAUCCGGUGAAAUUGAAGUACCAGUGAAGAUGCUGGUUACCUGCGCCAGGACGGAAAGACCCCAUGGAGCUUUACUCCAGU